GAUGAACGCUAGCUACAGGCUUAACACAUGCAAGUCGAGGGGAAACGAUAUUGGAAGCUUGCUUCUGAUAGGCGUCGACCGGCGCGCGGGUGAGUAACGCGUAUCCAACCUGCCCAUCACUUGGGGAUAACCUUGCGAAAGUAAGACUAAUACCCAAUGACGUCUCUAGAAGACAUCUGAAAGAGAUUAAAGAUUUAUCGGUGAUGGAUGGGGAUGCGUCUGAUUAGCUUGUUGGCGGGGUAACGGCCCACCAAGGCGACGAUCAGUAGGGGUUCUGAGAGGAAGGUCCCCCACAUUGGAACUGAGACACGGUCCAAACUCCUACGGGAGGCAGCAGUGAGGAAUAUUGGUCAAUGGACGAGAGUCUGAACCAGCCAAGUAGCGUGCAGGAUGACGGCCCUAUGGGUUGAAACUGCUUUUAUAAGGGAUAAAGUGGGAGUCGUGACUCUUUUUGCAUGUACCUUAUGAAUAAGGACCGGCUAAAUUCCGUGCCAGCAGCCG
rnacentral:rRNA from 1 species